GGGAACGUUGAGUUAUGAACGAAGAGACAUGUUUUAGGAAUCUCGUAUUGUUUAGAUAUCAUGUCUUUGAGAUGUUUGAGACCAAUGCGAUGGGUUUAAGGCAAGACCUAGGUUUACUCUCGGUUUUAAGGUUUGUGCGGUGACUAGCUGGCUAUCGGUUUUCCUGUUGCGAUUUCUACCUGAUUCGUACCGAUUUAAAGUCCACGAUAGGUUCUC
rnacentral:lncRNA from 1 species